GAUGGUUUAGUGGCGGACGGGUGAGUAACACGUGAGCAACCUACCUUUCAGAGGGGGAUAACAGUUGGAAACGACUGCUAAUACCGCAUAACGUUGUAAAAGGGCAUCCAUUUACAACCAAAAGAGAAAUCUGCUGAACCAUGGGCUCGCGGCCGAUUAGAUAGUAGGCGGGGUAACGGCCCACCUAGUCAACGAUCGGUAGCCGGACUGAGAGGUUGAACGGCCACAUUGGGACUGAGACACGGCCCAGACUCCUACGGGAGGCAGCAGUGGGGGAUAUUGCACAAUGGGCGAAAGCCUGAUGCAGCGACGCCGCGUGAGGGAAGACGGUCUUCGGAUUGUAAACCUCUGUCUUUGGGGAAGAAUAGAGACGGUACCCAAAGAGGAAGCUCCGGCUAACUACGUGCCAGCAGCCGCGGUAAUACGUAGGGAGCGAGCGUUGUCCGGAAUUACUGGGUGUAAAGGGAGCGUAGGCGGGCUUGUAAGUUGAAUGUCUAAUCCACCGGCUCAACCGGUGAUCGCGUUCAAAACUGCAGGUCUUGAGUGAAGUAGAGGCAGGCGGAAUUCCUAUUGUAGCGGUGAAAUGC
rnacentral:rRNA from 1 species